AAUGGGCGCAAGCCUGAUGCAGCCAUGCCGCGUGUGUGAAGAAGGCCCUAGGGUUGUAAAGCACUUUCAGCGAGGAGGAAAGGUUGUAGUUUAAUAGACUAUAGCUGUGACGUUACUCGCAGAAGAAGCACCGGCUAACUUCGUGCCAGCAGCCGCGGUAAUACGAGGGGUGCAAGCGUUAAUCGGAAUUACUGGGCGUAAAGCGUACGCAGGCGGUUUGUUAAGCGAGAUGUGAAAGCCCCGGGCUCAACCUGGGAACUGCAUUUCGAACUGGCAGACUAGAGUAUGAUAGAGGGUGGUAGAAUUUCAGGUGUAGCGGUGAAAUGCGUAGAGAUCUGAAGGAAUACCGAUGGCGAAGGCAGCCACCUGGGUCAAUACUGACGCUCAUGUACGAAAGCGUGGGAGCAAACGGAUUAGAUACCCGGUAGUCCAACCCGUAAACGAUGUCUACUAGGAGCUGGGUCUUCGCACUUUCAUGUUCCAUAGCUAACGCUGGGAGUGGGCCGUAAGGAGAGUAUGCCGCAAGGAGCGUACUCGGUAUAAUCACCAACUAUCAUGCUCAAAACUGAUAAUGCCUCGACUU
rnacentral:rRNA from 1 species